UACCGCUAUUGGAGUUCGAUUAAGCCAUGCGAGUCGCGAGAAAUUAGAUUCUCGGCGUACCGCUCAGUAACACGUGGGUAACCUGCCCUAUGCUGGAUAAUAACCUCGGGAAACUGAGUAUAAUGAUCCAUAGUUCACUACGCCUGGAACGGUGAGUGGACGAAAGCUCCGGCGGCAUAGGAUGGGCCUGCGGCGUAUCAGGUUGUAGGGGGUGUAACGUACCCUCUAGCCCUCUACGCGUACGGGUGUUGGGAGACAUAGCCCGGAGAUGGAUUCUGAGACACGAAUCCAGACCCUACGGGGUGCAGCAGGCGCGAAAACUUGGCAAUGCGAGAAAUCGUGACCAGGGAACUCCAAGUGCAUCGGGUAAGACCGGUGCUUUUCUUGACUCUAAAUAGGUCUUGGAAUAAGGGGUGGGUAAGGACGGUGCCAGCCGCCGCGGUAAUACCGGCGCCUCAAGUGGUAGUCGCUUUUAUUGGGCCUAAAACGUCCGUAGCCGGUCUGAUACAUUCGUGGGUAAAUCAACCAGCUCAACUGGUUGAAUUCUGCGAGGACGGUCAGACUUGGGACCGGGAGAGGUGUGGGGUACGCUCAGGGUAGGGGUAAAAUCCUGUCAUCCUGAGCGGACCACCUGUUGCGAAGGCGCCACACUAGAACGGAUCCGACGGUCAGGGACGAAGCCUAGGGGCACGAACCGGAUUAGAUACCCGGGUAGUCCUAGGUGUAAACGCUGUGGACUUGAUGUUGGGGGUGCUCCGAGCACUCUCAGUGUCGAA
rnacentral:rRNA from 1 species